rfam:Oryzias latipes DNA, scaffold4154, strain: Hd-rR.
GAGGCCACCUCAAACAGAGACACUGAUGGUUUUUAUUUCCUAAGUGCUUCUCUUUGGGGUUGUCUCA